ensembl:lncRNA
AUGACGGGUUUCAAGAGCUCUAUGCACUGUCCCCGUGCCAGCCACACUUCUCAGUGUAACCCAAGCCUGAAGGCACCCUGCGUGCUCAACCAGCCUCUCUCUCCCUUGUUGCACACUGCCUUGGAGGCAGCCCAAGGAAGCUCUGGCCAGAUUGGACAACAGCAAUCCCUGCUCAAAAGCAGCUGCUUCCUCCUCCUGCGUUUCCUUCCUUCUCCUGAAGCCCUCCCCUCAAAGGAGAGUGUAGGAGAUAAAGCCUGGAUCUCCCCCAGCGACUCCCUGCAUCCUAUUAACCCUGUCUGCCACAGCUGGAAGAGCCAUUCACCUGUACUCGCAGCUAGAGCAAAACUCUUGCUGGAGCUGGCAGUCUCCAGCACUGAGCAUGAACGAUGGAUGCAUGUGCUCGUCUCCCACCUCCUGCUGCCCCCGCAGCUCAUCUCAGUACCACGCCUGCCAAGCACAUCUGAACGGGAUAUCCGGGACCUGCUGGCGCCCUGCAUCAGCUGGAGAUGUGCUGCAGCUCAAGGUGCAUCAUCCAGGCUGCCUUCUCCCCACAGGUGGCUUCUCCAACUCGAGUCUCCCAUCCUCUGACCCCACCUGCGUGUGAGUCCACUGAGAAAAGAAGCUGCCAGUUUCCACCCCAAAUUUUGGCAUGGGAUUACAAGCGUUAACCUUACUGCAGGCAAUGAGACUUCACAGCCUUGUGAACAUCUAGACCCUAUACCUUGGCUUGGUGGGAGAUACCAGGGGAUGCUGCAGUCUGUUUGAACCAGUUCUUAAAAAUAAUCUUCAUCCAAGUCUGCUCUCUUCUGCUUCUGUAACUCUUCCUUAGAGCCCCUCUUACUUCAUCAAUGCCUCCUCUUUUCCCCAUCCACUCUGAUCUAGAUCCAGGAACUUCUACUCUUAUAUUGAACCAUCCUACACAUGCCCCUAGCCCUCUCCUGGGGACAGCGGGCAGCUAUUAACGGUAGCUCACUACUGGGGGCAUCUCAUAUCUCACAAGGAGUGCUUUGAAAGGUGAACAGUGGUUAGGUCAAGAAGAUUUUCUCCAGAGGUGCCCAUGAGCUUUCUCACCAGAGAAACAAGCACUGUGUCAAGAUGUGGGAAGUUGGUGUUUAAGAGCUCAGAGAAACUCAUGGGUCUGUGAUGGAUAUUUCCAGCUGCAACCAUCCUGACACCAGGGGGGCUGAAACGAAGAGGUCUGACUAUCCUGAACCGGGUCCUAAGCCUGGUCAAACAGAUUCUUGCCACAUUCUGCAGGCAUUUGGUCCACCACGAGCACGGUCAUCACUCUGGCCUCCAGGCGAACAAAGGGCAAGGGCGUGAGUGUUGUUCGAUACCUAUGCAGCAAAGCACCGUGCUUUUUGCAGCAGGAGGUGGCCAGGGACAGCAUCCCUGUGCGUGGCAGCGGGCUGGGUGCUGGCACACGUCCCUCUGUCCCCUCUGCCAGCUUAGCUUAAAGACCACUGCAGGGAACAGUGACAGGGCAGAGAUGAAACGGCAGUGCUGUAUGUGAGUCAAGGCACAUAGAUCUCCUUCCCACACAUCCCUGUUUGUGGUGUACAGAGGGACAUGCCACAGCUGGCUGCAU